CGUACACUCCUGCGGGAGGCAGCAGUGGGGAAUAUUGGACAAUGGGCGCAAGCCUGAUCCAGCCAUGCCGCGUGAGUGAUGAAGGCCCUAGGGUUGUAAAGCUCUUUUGUGCGGGAAGAUAAUGACGGUACCGCAAGAAUAAGCCCCGGCUAACUUCGUGCCAGCAGCCGCGGUAAUACGAAGGGGGCUAGCGUUGCUCGGAAUCACUGGGCGUAAAGGGUGCGUAGGCGGGUCUUUAAGUCAGGGGUGAAAUCCUGGAGCUCAACUCCAGAACUGCCUUUGAUACUGAAGAUCUUGAGUUCGGGAGAGGUGAGUGGAACUGCGAGUGUAGAGGUGAAAUUCGUAGAUAUUCGCAAGAACACCAGUGGCGAAGGCGGCUCACUGGCCCGAUACUGACGCUGAGGCACGAAAGCGUGGGGAGCAAACAGGAUUAGAAACCCUAGUAGUCCCAUGAU
rnacentral:rRNA from 1 species